GGGUAUGAUGCUGGGUAUCGCGGCUAUCCUCGGUCGGCAUAGCAGAAUGUGGGGUGAAGAAGAGGCGACGGGGCCUGAGGGGUGAAGGAGCCAGCUGGGCUGAUAGAGAAUGCGGGGAUUCAAGUGUCGAUUUCCCACAGACGGCGCCAAACUGUUGAUACUCAAAAUGGCCCGGCCAAUAUUGAGUCCAACUUAGUGAUUAGAUGUGCUGGGUCUUCAGCAGGGAAGAGGGCUGAGGCCCUUGGUGAAAUAUAGGUUGAUGGGAAACCUGCAGAAGACAAAGUGGGAGAAGCAAUCGUUAAGCUUCGGACACCGGUGUGGUGCCGGCCGAAGGCUCUCCGAUGCCUAAGUCAGUUACAAGUAGUAAUUCUGGCAGAGUAACAGUAAAAGUGGGAGAAUAGUUGUCCUUUGUACCUGGAUACUGUUCCCUAUUUAUAGGGAGGUGAGGGUAGGAGGUUUGCACAAAGUUCCAAUGUGGGACUUUGUGCAAGUCGUCGUGGUGGCGACACGUGUCCUGGAGAUUAGGUUUGGCAGUUGGGAGCUUCGGCAGGUGUCUGGCACCUCAGAAGUGUGUCUUCCUUCGGCACAGGAGAAGGCGUGGCUGCCUUGGUGCUAGUCACUUUGGUGCUGGGUCUGCUCGGUUCAUUAUGGUGCAAAC
rnacentral:lncRNA from 1 species